CAUGGGCUACUCACCAUGGAAGCCACAAAUAAAAGGAAACAAUAUAUGCAGAACAGACAACGCAAACGACCCAGGGGCGGAAGCAUCCAACCGACAGACGCAAACAAAGGAGAGGUGGCUGAAGUGAACACAACAACAACCGAGCGAACAUCCGGAGGUGGAUAUAGAGGCGAGGAAGAAAGAACGGCAGCAAAUAUCAUUAAGACAGCAUUCUUGC
rnacentral:lncRNA from 1 species